CUCCUCCCCGGAUCUCCCUCACGGUUCCCGCCCUGCGCGCGCGGCCCCGGAACCGGAAGUCGCGCGAGCCCCGGAAGCGCCGCCGGCUCCUUCCCGGCAGCGCCGCCAUCUUGGCUGGAGCCGUUAGGGAGCCGCGGCCGCCGCUGCCCGCCCCGCCCGCUCCGCCGCCAUCGCGGCCCGGCCGCCGCUCCCCGCCUGCCUCCCUCCCUCGGCCGCGGGCAGGAGGGGCCGCCCGGGGCCUGGCGGCCGCGGAGAGGUGAGCGGGACGGGGAGGGACGGGCGGGCUGCCUUCCUGUCUCCCUCUCUCUCUGUGUUCUCCUUCUCCCUCCGUUUUCCCCUCUCCUUUCCUCUCUUUUUCACCUUUCUCUUCUAUUUCAGUCUCUCCUUUCCUCGGCUGCCUUCCUGUCUCACCUCUCACCCCCUCUCUGCCGUUCUCCUCCCUCUCUCCUUUCCCCAUCUCUCUCUCUUUUCUCCUCUCAUUCCCUCCCUCUCUUUUCUACCUUUCCCCUUUCUUUUUCAGUCCCUCUGUCUCACCCGCUCUCUGCCGUUCUCCUCCUCUCCCUCCUUUCCCCAUGUCCCUCUGUUUCUCCUUUUUCCCUCUCCUGUUUCUCCCUCUCCUUCCCUCCCUCCUUUCCCUCCUUUCCCCUCUCUCUCAGUCCUUCCUUUCCUCUUUCCCUUCUUCCCUCCCUCUCUGAUUCCUCUUUGCCCUCUCUCCCUUUCAUUCCCUCCCUUUCUUUUCCCUCUUUCUCCUUUUCCUUUCAGUCCCUCCCUCUUUACCUCUACCUUUCCCUCCCUUUCCUUUUUUCCUUAUUUUUCUCCUUUUCUCCUCUCCCUUUCACUCCCUCCCUUCCUCUUUUCCUUUUUCCCUCCCUCUCUGAUUCCUCUUUUCCUCCUCUCCCUUUUAUUUCCCGUUUUUCUCCCCUUUGUCCCUCCUUUUUACCCUCUUUUCCCCCUCUUUUCUUCCCUUUUUCUCCCCCCUUUUUCCAUGGUUCUUGCUCCUUAAAAAUUCAAAUAAUAGAAUUUGAAUCCAAAUCAUUGAAUUUACAUCUCAAAUGCAGCCGUAAAGUGGAUUUUGUAAAGACCUGGAGAAAGGUUCUAUGA
rnacentral:lncRNA from 1 species